rnacentral:rRNA from 1 species
UACGAAGGGGGCUAGCGUUGCUCGGAAUCACUGGGCGUAAAGGGUGCGUAGGCGGGUCUUUAAGUCAGGGGUGAAAUCCUGGAGCUCAACUCCAGAACUGCCUUUGAUACUGAAGAUCUUGAGUUCGGGAGAGGUGAGUGGAACUGCGAGUGUAGAGGUGAAAUUCGUAGAUAUUCGCAAGAACACCAGUGGCGAAGGCGGCUCACUGGCCCCGAUACUGACGCUGAGGCACGAAAGCGUGGGGGAGCAAACAGG